GCUACUGACUGUAGCAAAGUGAGAAGAGGGUCUAGCCAGGGCACUCACGUAGAGCCAGGUAAAGUGAUUUUUUACAAAGAGUUGAUAGGAUCCCUGAUCUUCACAGCACUCCUGUGACAUAGCUGCCAAGACGCUCCAUCCCUCUACCAAAAUGCAGUAUUCCCAUCACUGUGAGCACCUUCUAGAGAGACUGAACAAGCAGCGAGAGGCAGGCUUCCUUUGUGACUGCACGGUAGUUAUUGGAGAAUUCCAGUUCAAAGCUCACAGAAAUGUGCUUGCCUCCUUCAGCGAGUACUUUGGUGCAUUUUACAGGGAUGCCUCUGACAGUAAUGUGGUUUUGGAUCAGACUCAAGUGAAGGCUGAUGGAUUUCAGAAACUCCUGGAGUUUAUAUACACGGGAAACUUAAACCUUGACAGUUGGAAUGUUAAAGAAAUUCACCAGGCUGCUGACUAUCUCAAAGUGGAGGAGGUGGUCACUAAGUGUAAAAUAAAGAUGGAAGACUUUGCUUUUAUUGCUAAUCCCUCCUCUACAGAGAUUUCUAGUAUUACGGGAAACAUUGAACUGAACCAACAGACUUGCCUCCUCACUCUUCAAGAUUACGAUAAUCGAGAGAAAUCAGAUGCCCCUUCUGCAGACUCAGUUCAGCCACAAGCAAAAAAAGUGGGUUUAGAAAAGAAAUCUACUCAGACCAGAAAGCGAAAAAAGACUUUUAACUCUCAGAAAAACAUGAAGAAUAAACCAGUGCAAUAUCAGAAUGACAUAAUUGAGAACUCAUCAGUCGAUAUGUUUUUAGAUGCAAAUAAACUGGCCACACAGAUAACGGAACAAGCUGCCCAAGGCAGCGAUAACUCAGAGCUACAGUUAGCGUCAGUGGUGGAAAGUGAGACUUUUGCAGCACAAGAUGUUUUGGUUCAGACUAUUACAGUGAAACAAAAACGGGGGAAGCCACAGCAGAACUGUGCAUUGAAAGAACACAGUAUGUCUAAUAUAGCUAGUGAAAAGAACUCUUACCAACUGGAGAGCUCUGGAGAAGAACUCGAUCAGAAAUACUCCAAGGCCAAGCCAGUGUGCAACACUUGUGGGAAAAUAUUUUCAGAAGCCAGUAGUCUACGACGACAUAUGAGAAUACACAAAGGAGUAAAGCCUUAUGUGUGUCAACUAUGCGGGAAAGCAUUUACACAGUGUAAUCAGCUGAAAACACAUGUCAGAACGCACACAGGGGAGAAGCCAUACAAAUGUGAAUUGUGCGACAAAGGCUUUGCCCAGAAGUGCCAGCUUGUUUUCCACAGUCGCAUGCAUCAUGGAGAAGAGAAACCAUAUAAAUGUGAUGUAUGCAAUCUGCAGUUUGCAACUUCAAGCAAUCUUAAGAUCCAUGCCAGGAAGCACAGUGGUGAGAAGCCCUACGUGUGUGAUAGGUGUGGGCAGAGGUUUGCUCAGGCCAGUACGCUGACGUACCAUGUUCGUCGCCAUACAGGAGAGAAGCCAUAUGUGUGUGACACCUGUGGGAAAGCAUUUGCAGUGUCCAGUUCUCUGAUCACUCAUUCUCGAAAACAUACAGGAGAGAAACCAUAUAUAUGUGGCAUUUGUGGCAAAAGUUUUAUUUCCUCAGGAGAGCUCAAUAAACAUUUUCGGUCUCAUACAGGUGAAAGACCAUUUAUCUGUGAACUGUGUGGAAAUUCUUACACAGAUAUUAAAAAUUUAAAAAAGCACAAAACAAAAGUUCACACAGGAUCCGAAACCACCCUUGAUUCUAACACAGUUGAUAAUUCCUACAAUGAACAAGAAUCCAUUCAGAAUCAGAAAAGCCCUUUGUCAGAGUCUGCAGAUGUGAAGCCUUCUGAGAUGUCUUUACCACUUCCUCUUCCCAUUGGGACAGAAGACCAUCAGAUGCUGUUGCCUAUAACUGGUAAUCAGUCUCCUUCUUCAGACACAUUGCUGAGAUCUGCUGUGACUGGAUAUUCAGAACCUCAGUUUAUUUUCUUGCAGCAGUUGUACUGACUCUGUGCGAUAUGGGAAUCAACUAGACAAUCCUGAUAGUGAACACACACAUUACUGCUUCCUGAUUGUGGCCUGUACUUUUGUCAUCUCUCUUGGACUGAUGUUAACGUCAAGUUGGUCAGGUUUGCAUGUUUAAAUGGAAGUCUGGUGCUGAAGUCGACCUUGGUCUGUUGAUUUCUGUGAAUGCUCUGUCCAUUUAUUUUUUCUGUUCUACCUCAGUUGUAAGCAUUUUUCCAUCUUUGCUUUUUAUUGGCCCAUGUCCUAUUCUGAAAUUGACACACAGGAUUUUAAUCACUUGGUAAAUAGCCCUGAUAAUCGCUUAAUAGCAGCAGCUUCAGCUGCUAGAUCUUCAGUGUAUCUUCAUUCUUCUGCCCUUGCGUUGCUUUUCACCACUCUGUCUGCUUUCAUGCACUCCUCUGCUUUUUCCAGUACUCUAGUUGGUUUUAGCAUUCAGGAUUUUUCCUUUCGGUAUCUUUCCUUCCUCAAAAAGAACAGGAGUACUUGUGGCACAAGUACUCCUGUUCUUUUUGCGGAUACAGACUAACUCAAACUCCUUCCUUCCUCAGUGAGACGUCAUAUCUCUUGAGUUAUCCAUAUCUUCUUCUGCCUCUAUUGAUAUCCAACUGUGGCUACUGCAGCUUGAACCAUAUUGUCUGUAAGCCUGGCCCAAGGAGUUUACAUUAGCUUUUUCUUUUACAAGCAGCGUUUCUGGUGUCUGACAGCGUCACUGCUUAAGGUCCAUUGUGAUUAGUGGGAGUGUUUUUAUGCCUCACCAAGUCAAUCUUAGACCUGUCAAGAAUCAUCAAAUAAAGAGCCACAGAGGCAUGUUUUCUCCAGUCAGACAAACAGCACCUGUGCUAUUUUUAAGUGCAUUCUUUGUUGGUUGGUUAUUUGUUGAUAAUAUUUUAUCUGCAUUGGUGCCUUGGGUCUAGGCCCUGGUAAACAGAAGAGCAUAGAAGAUGCCACUUAAUAGAAUUCCUACUCUACUCCAUAUAACAACUCAUCUUCACCUUAAUUAAAAGGGCCUUGUGAAAAAUUUCAUAGUGGAUUUAUCCUCUGCAAAUGGAUUCCUGAAUCCUGGGCAUGGCUCUGUCUUUUAUUUGUUGCUUUCUUUAUCCAUGUGUCUGUUUUCCUCUUUGUCUGUACAUUUUAAAUGAAAUAGACUUUUCAUCUUUUGUUGUUUAUAAUUUUAAAUGUGAUGUGUAAUACUGUUUUUGAUUGUUUAAUGCUUAAUUACAUGUGGUCGAUUUGCUGUUGAGGCUUACUGGACAUUAUGAAGUACAACCAAGUCUCCCAAGAGUCUUCUUACUGCACUGAAGCCAAUCCUUGCCAUUGCUUCCUGACCUUCACUGUAUUUGCUUUGCACUUAGCUCCAUUACAGCAUUUGCCAGCAUCUACUGUCCUUCAGCACAUGAGUGUAGGACACUGGAUGAAUCAUUUUGGGUUGUCAGUGGUGCGCAGUGUGGCUUUUUUCAUUCUUUUGAAAUCUUUGUUUUUUUCCCCUCGUAAUCUCUCAAGGAUUCCGUGGCCAACUGGUAAUUCUGUGACUGAAGAACCGCACCAAAAAGCAGGGCCUUGAAUAUAAGUGACAAAGGUCCACUCCAUGUGACCAGAUCUAAGGCUGCAUUUUCUGACCAAAAAUACAGCAAAGGUAUAAGGAUGAACGCAGUUUUAGUAAUUAGUAUUGCACAAAAGAAAAGCCGUCUUAAGCGCUCUGCCAACUCCUAUGGUUACACUGCUAUUUGGCAAGUUCAUCUUUAAAUGUACUAAAGUACAUCUCUUCUGAUGUGCUAUUACUAUUUUUUUUUUAAAGUUUAACUUGUUCAGAAUUACUGAGUAAUGCAUAUAUUACCAGAAGAGCAAACUAACUCUGAAAAACACAUUCCUAUGUAGAAUAUGCAUUCCAUAAGAAUGCUUGUUUCAACUGUUUUUAUAUUUCUAAAAUUUUAGAUUACUACAGUAUUCUUACAUUUCAGACUUUUUUAAAAAAAAUCAGUGCUUAGAUUUAUACUGGAUCCAGUUUAGAUAUUUAUAGAAGUGACAUUUGCUUUAUAUUACUCAUUUAGUUUUCUUUAUACACAGGAAGAUCAUCAUUUUUACAAGACAACGGUUUUAAACCUCUCUUCACAGAAUACACAGGUUCUGAUAAAGUUGUUCUCUUGCAGCAAUAAUUUAAUGAUCUGUACUCUUGAGUACCAAUUCUUAGCCUCAACUUUGAUGAAAAUGACUCAGCUGCUGAGUUCAUUUCCCUUAAAUAUAUUAAUUUAAUAAACAUAUAAUGUAAAAAACGUGUAGGAGUGGUCCAGCUGGGUGCUGUCGAGCUUUGAGAGAGAGCUCUACUGCAUAUCUGUGACAAUGCCAGGAGUACUUUCCAUGCAUCUCUUAUGUGAAAGCGUUCUGCUCUCAAGUUCAAUUUUGAGCUGGAAGUUAUCAAGAGGAUUGAUGGUCCAUGUAAAGAGUGAAUAGGGGGAAAAACGUGGACAUCUUAAAUAGUCAAAUGCCGUUAAUAGUUAACCAAAUUUCUCCUUUCUGAAAAAUGAAAGCGAGAGCAUUAACAUUUCUUUAAAAUUUUGAAAAAGACUUCUAAAGAAUAUCUCCAGUGUCCAAAUCUCAGCAAGUCCACUAACUUCAAUGGAAGUUUUGCCUGAGGGCUUGACUACUCUUGGAAAUUUACCAAAAUAGCUAGCUAUUCCAGAAUGGGGAGUUCUACCAGAAUAGCUACUCUGCAAUAAUUAUUUUGGUAAGUUCCAAGUGUAGAAAAGCCCUGAGUAAGGAUUACAAGAUUGGACUUUGUGAGAGGCUGUUCGUAAGACUUACAGAAAUAGGUCUAGAUAAGAACUAGUAAUUGAUUUGGGUUAAGUUAUUUUUGAAGUAUUUUUCCUGUAUAUACAAAGUGUUUUUCCUUCUGUUAUGUAUAUAUAGUUCAAUUCUUUUUUUAUAAUCCCCUGUGGGGGUUUUGUACAUACUUAGGUUGCAGUGUUUGUUAGGCUUUAAUAAACUUGUUUUGUAAUUUUC